rnacentral:rRNA from 1 species
AACGCGCAUUGCGCUCUCGGGAUUUCCUGAGAGCAGGUCUGCUUCAGUGCUUAGC